rnacentral:rRNA from 1 species
UACGAAGGGGGCUAGCGUUGCUCGGAAUCACUGGGCGUAAAGCGCACGUAGGCGGCUUUCUAAGUCAGGGGUGAAAUCCUGGAGCUCAACUCCAGAACUGCCUUUGAUACUGGGAAGCUCGAGUCCGGAAGAGGUGAGUGGAACUCCGAGUGUAGAGGUGAAAUUCGUAGAUAUUGGGAGGAACACCGGUGGCGAAGGCGGCCAUCUGGGAGGGCACUGACGCUGAGACGCGAAAGCGUGGGGAGCAAACAGG